rnacentral:rRNA from 1 species
CACGCAGGCGGAUGAUUAAGUCAGGUGUGAAAACUAUGGGCUCAACCCGUAGACUGCACUUGAAACUGGUUAUCUGGAGUCUCGGAGAGGUAAGCGGAAUUCUCGGUGUAGCGGUGAAAUGCGUAGAUAUCGAGAGGAACACCGAUGGCGAAGGCAGCUUACUGGACGGUGACUGACGCUCAUGUGCGAAAGCGUGGGGAGCAAACAGGAUUAGAUACCCUGGUAGUCCACGCCCUAAACUUUGUCGACCAGGCGUCGGGGGUAUCAACCCCCUCGGUGCCAAACCUAACGGAUUAAGUCGACCGCCUGGGGACUAUGCUCGCAAGAGUGAA